rnacentral:rRNA from 1 species
GACGAACGCUGGCGGCGUGCUUAACACAUGCAAGUCGAACGAUGAACCACUUCGGUGGGGAUUAGUGGCGAACGGGUGAGUAACACGUGGGCAAUCUGCCCUGCACUCUGGGACAAGCCCUGGAAACGGGGUCUAAUACCGGAUACUGAUCACCUUGGGCAUCCAAGGUGAUCGAAAGCCCCGGCGGUGCAGGAUGAGCC